UACAGAGGGUGCAAGCGUUGUUCGGAUUUACUGGGCGUAAAGCGCACGUAGGCGGUUUGUUAAGUCAGGGGUGAAAUCCCGGAGCUCAACUCCGGAACUGCCUUUGAUACUGGCAAGCUAGAGUCCGGAAGAGGUAAGUGGAACUCCUAGUGUAGAGGUGGAAUUCGUAGAUAUUAGGAAGAACACCAGUGGCGAAGGCGGCUUACUGGUCCGGAACUGACGCUGAGGUGCGAAAGCGUGGGGAGCAAACAGG
rnacentral:rRNA from 1 species